rnacentral:rRNA from 1 species
UACGUAGGGUGCGAGCGUUAAUCGGAAUUACUGGGCGUAAAGCGUGCGUAGGCGGUCCGCGAAGUCUGAUGUGAAAGCCCCGGGCUCAACCUGGGAACUGCAUUGGAAACUAACGGGCUCGAGUGUGGCAGAGGGGGUGGAAUUCCACGUGUAGCAGUGAAAUGCGUAGAGAUGUGGAGGAACACCGAUGGCGAAGGCAGCCCCCUGGGCUAACACUGACGCUCAGGCACGAAAGCGUGGGGAGCAACAGG